rnacentral:rRNA from 1 species
GGGGGAUAACAACCCGAAAGGGUUGCUAAUACCGCAUACGUCGAGAGAUUUUUCAGAGUCUCUCGAGAAAGGUGGCCUCUUCAUGAAAGCUACCACCGAAGGAUCAGCCCGCGGCCCAUCAGCUAGUUGGCGGUGUAAUAGACCACCAAGGCAAAGACGGGUAGCUGGUCUGAGAGGAUGAUCAGCCACACUGGAACUGAGACACGGUCCAGACUCCUACGGGAGGCAGCAGUGGGGAAUAUUGGGCAAUGGGCGAAAGCCUGACCCAGCCAUGCCGCGUGAGUGAUGAAGGCCUUCGGGUCGUAAAGCUCUGUGGGGAGGGAAGAAAAUACCUUGGCUAAUAUCCAAGGGAACUGACGGUACCUCCUUAGCAAGCACCGGCUAACUCCGUGCCAGCAGCCGCGGUAA